rnacentral:rRNA from 1 species
UACAGAGGUCUCAAGCGUUUGUUCGGAUUCAUUGGGCGUAAAGGGUGCGUAGGUGGCGCCGUAAGUCGGGUGUGAAAUUUCGGAGCUUAACUCCGAAACUGCAUUCGAUACUGCGGUGCUUGAGGACUGGAGAGGAGACUGGAAUUUACGGUGUAGCGGUGAAAUGCGUAGAUAUCGUAAGGAAGACCAGUGGCGAAGGCGGGUCUCUGGACAGUUCCUGACGCUGAGGCACGAAGGCCAGGGGAGCAAACGGG